GUUAGGAAUCUUCCACAAUGGGGGCAACCCUGAUGGAGCAACACCGCGUGCUGGAUGAAGGCCUUCGGGUCGUAAACAGCUUUUGUAUACGAAGAAUAUGACGGUAAUAUACGAAUAAGGGUCGGCUAACUACGUGCCAGCAGCCGCGGUCAUACGUAGGACCCAAGCGUUAUCCGGAGUGACUGGGCGUAAAGAGUUGCGUAGGCGGCUUAUUAAGCGAGUAGUGAAAUCUGGUGGCUCAACCAUCAACACAUUGCUCGAACUGAUAGGCUUGAGAAUGGUAGAGGUAGUUGGAAUUUCUUGUGUAGGAGUGAAAUCCGUAGAUAUAAGAAGGAACACCAAUGGCGUAGGCAGACUACUGGACCAUUUCUGACGCUGAGGCACGAAAGCGUGGGGAGCGAACCGGAUUAGAUACCCCUGUAGUCC
rnacentral:rRNA from 1 species